rnacentral:lncRNA from 1 species
UUGUGAGUAUAAUCUCUUCAAUCUUUACAUGGUUACUGUUUACUAUGGUAGAGUCAAGAGAAGAGAUAAUCAGAGAAUCUGUAAAAUGUGAGAAGUAAUAACCAAAUCUUUUAUUUUCUUGCAUAGGGAAUGACACUCUUGACAUUGUCUGCAUCAGUUUCUGGGAUGAAACCAACCUGCGAUGCACAAGGCAAUUGUCACGCUACUGAGGGAAAUAGUGCAAUUUGUUUUGUGGCUCUUUACCUUAUAGCUCUUGGAACUGGUGGGAUAAAGCCUUGUGUUUCAUCAUUUGGUGCAGACCAAUUUGAUGAUGCAGAUGAAGCUGAGAAGGAGCACAAG